GACGAACGCUGGCGGCGUACUCAACACAUGCAAGUCGAACGGUGAAGCGCCUUCCUUUUUGGUGGGUGUGGAUGAGUGGCGAACGGGUGAGUAACACGUGAGUAACCUGCCCCCUUCUUCUGGAUAACCGCAUGAAAGUGUGGCUAAUACGGGAUAUUCUGGGUCUGUCGCAUGAUGGGUCUGGGAAAGAUAUUGUUUCGGUGGGGGAUGGGCUCGCGGCCUAUCAGCUUGUUGGUGGGGUGAUGGCCUACCAAGGCGGUGACGGGUAGCCGGCCUGAGAGGGUGGACGGUCACACUGGGACUGAGACACGGCCCAGACUCCUACGGGAGGCAGCAGUGGGGAAUAUUGCACAAUGGGCGCAAGCCUGAUGCAGCGACGCCGCGUGAGGGAUGGAGGCCUUCGGGUUGUGAACCUCUUUCGCCAGUGAAGCAGGCCUGCCUCGUUUGUGGGUGGGUUGACGGUAGCUGGAUAAGAAGCGCCGGCUAACUACGUG
rnacentral:rRNA from 1 species